rnacentral:rRNA from 1 species
UACGUAGGUGGCAAGCGUUGUCCGGAAUCACUGGGCGUAAAGCGCGCGCAGGCGGCGAUCUACGUCUGGGGUGAAAGCCCGGAGCUCAACUCCGGGACUGCCUUGGAUACGGGAUCGCUUGAGGAUUGGAGAGGCAAGGGGAAUUCCACGUGUAGCGGUGAAAUGCGUAGAUAUGUGGAGGAACACCUGUGGCGAAGGCGCCUUGCUGGCCAAUUUCUGACGCUGAGGCGCGAAAGCCGUGGGGGAGCAAACAGGGA